ACUCCUGGGUAAAUUGAGCGGGCGCUCUGGCUUCAGUUAAAUACCUUCCUUUAGAGGGAUCGGGUCUGUCCCCCGCGGAGAUGUUAAUGUUACUUUAUUGGUUCUCUUCUCGCGCGCCUUGGUUCAGGAUCUUCUGAGUUACGCUUUUGGAAAAUGAAGACACGCUACAAUUACAUCUGCAUCCUACGGCCAAAUAAUCAGGGUUCCCGUCAUGCAGCGAGGCGCUUGAUUCCCGCCCUUAGUACGGGAAGGAAGUGGCACGUUGCUUUCUGGGACUUGUAGUUCAAAGCCUAGGGAGCUCUGACAAAGCAGAGAAUGUUCCUGCCUUUUGAUUAGAAGAGGGCCAGUACAGAAAUGGAAAAACCCAUCCAAAAAUUCAUAUGGAAUUUCAAGGAACUCCUGAAGAGUCAAAAUAAUCUUGAAUAAGAACAAAAUUGGAGGAUUCACACUUCCUAAUUUCAAAUUUUACUACAAAGCUACAUCAUCAAAACAGUAUAGCAUUGGCAUAAAGAUUGACAUAUAGGCCAAUAGAAUAAAGA